rnacentral:rRNA from 1 species
UACGUAGGGGGCAAGCGUUGUCCGGAAUCAUUGGGCGUAAAGAGCGUGUAGGCGGUCCGGUAAGUCCGCUGUGAAAGUCGGGGGCUCAACCCUCGAAUGCCGGUGGAUACUGUCGGGCUAGAGUGCGGAAGAGGCGAGUGGGAUUCCUGGUGUAGCGGUGAAAUGCGCAGAUAUCAGGAGGAACACCUAUUGCGAAGGCAGCUCGCUGGGACGUAACUGACGCUGAGACGCGAAAGCGUGGGGAGCAAACAGG